UUAACAGUACCUUGUUACUGCCUCAUAGCC
rnacentral:piRNA from 1 species